rnacentral:ribozyme from 1 species
UGCCCAGCAACUCCUAUCCCUACCUCCUCGCGUACUGGCCGGGGUAGAGUAACCUUGGGGAAGAUCGGGUAACCAACCCCCGGUGGGAACUUUGGUCGUAUGCUGACAGGGAAGG